AAAGGGGAAAAAAACGUUAAGAAUGAGGAAGAGGUGGAGUUGUUGAGGAGUUAGUUUCUACUUUGGAACCUGUGUGGGAGGAGGCUGAUUUUGUGGGAUACAUGUGAAUCAUAUGUUCAGCCAGAGAGAGUCACCAGCGAGAGAGUCAAUGACAGCCUAGGGGAUGGGAUUACAAGAUUCACGAGGUACUCAUUCUAGCGUUCAUUUCUCCUACAGCAUGCUUGCACCCCCCACCCUCCCUCUCUCUUUGCCCGCCUCCCCCUCUUUCCCUUCCUCUCUCCCUCAUUUCUCACUGGACCGCUUUCUGUUUUCUUAUUCCUAUCUUUCCUUUUUUCAAGGUUAAUUACAUAUUUUCUUUUUUCAUUUUUUAUUUAAAUUAGAAACAAGAUUGUUUUGCAUGUCAAUCCCAGGUCCCUAUUCCUCCUCUCCUCCCCUGCCCUCCCCCAACUAACACCCUACUUUUCCCAUAUCCUUUCUGCCUUCCAUGGGGGAAUCUUCAGAGUCUGUCAUAUCAUUGGGAUAGGGCCUAGGCCCUCCCCGUGUGUCUAGGCUGAGGGAGUAUCCCUCUAUAUGGAAUGGGCUACCAAAGUCCAUUCAUAUGCUAGUGAUAAAUACUGAUCUACUAUACUACCAAAGGCCCCAUAGAUUGCCGAGGCCUCCUCACUGACACCCACAUUCAAGGUGUCUGGAUCAAUCCUGUGCUGGUUUCCCAGGUAUCAGUCUGUGAACCAUGAGCUCCCCCUUGUUCAGGUCAGCUGUUUCUGUGGGUUUCAUCAGCCUGAUCAUCAGCCAGCUCAUCACUCCUCACUCUCUGCAACUGGAUUCCAGCUCAGUUCAGUGUUUAGCUGUGGGUGUCUGUUUCUACUUCCACCAGCUGCUGGAUGAAGGCUUCGCUUCUUCCUAUCUUUUAAUGAACAGUUUUUGAACUUUGUCUCCAGACCCUCAUGCUGGCUCAGCAGCAAGACUGACCAAUGAAAACGCAAACACAGUUGAAAGAGAAGAAAACUCACACAGCAGGGUUAAGUAUACAACCUGGGAAAAUUACAACAGUAAGACCAUUUUCUAUAGGACGGAGGGGCGUGCACGGAGACGUACUGGUGUAAGAGCUCCCGUCUCCCACGGGCCUCUGCCCAGCAAAGUCUCUCUAGAAAGAAAGAGAUGGGAUUCUAGGGGAAUGCAUUUAUGCACUCAGUCCUUUACUCAAAAACUACGCCUCUCUGUCUACACCAGCCUUUACGCGAUGCCUGCCCCGGGGCCAGAAGAAGGGAGUCCAGAGUUGGAAGAGGAGGCUGGAGGGGGAGAGCCGUGUGGGAGCGCUUUCCUGGCGUCUUGACUAGGAUGGCGGUCAUGUGGCGAGUUCAUUGCCUUUGACGAUACGAUGAAAACUAAAGAGGCAAGUGGGAACCUUCACUCGGACAUUUGGAGGCUGCGGGCCCCCUCCGUCCGCACGCAACCUGACCACCCAGGUGCAGCCUGGAGUAGCUGUUGGCACCGUUUGGGGCGCGCUCGCUCCGUGUGAGACCUCUGGGUUACGGGCUUUAACUCCGGGAGGCCUUUGAUCGUGGCGCUGCAGGGCCACUUGACGACACCUCCCGUUUAGACUUCCAGUUAGCCAGCAAUUAGCAAACGCUGGCUUCCACGUCCGAGUCUGUGCUCGGCCUCGACGGCGGGAGGGAGGUUUGGAAGCGACGAGGGCCCAGGUCGCCUGGAGGGACGGCGGCGGAGACUUACACCCAGUCUAACCACCCUACGUCUUCUGUCGGGGCGUGGGGACCGCUCCCUCGCCAUCUACUUUGGUCUCCACGGCGACGCGCCGCCUCACGUCUCGCGUGACGUUCCCGCGCGUGGCGACAGAACCGCCGCCUACGGAAGCCGCCCUGCGAACGCGAGGCCCGCGCGUCCGCUUCCGUACAACAUGGCGGCGCACCCC
ensembl:lincRNA